rnacentral:rRNA from 1 species
ACUCCUACGGGAGGCAGCAGUGGGGAAUAUUGGACAAUGGGCGAAAGCCUGAUCCAGCCAUGCCGCGUGUGUGAAGAAGGUCUUCGGAUUGUAAAGCACUUUAAGUUGGGAGGAAGGGCAGUAAGUUAAUACCUUGCUGUUUUGACGUUACCAACAGAAUAAGCACCGGCUAACUUCGUGCCAGCAGCCGCGGUAAUACGAAGGGUGCAAGCGUUAAUCGGAAUUACUGGGCGUAAAGCGCGCGUAGGUGGUUCGGCAAGUUGGAUGUGAAAUCCCCGGGCUCAACCUGGGAACUGCAUCCAAAACUACUGAGCUAGAGUACGGUAGAGGGUGGUGGAAUUUCCUGUGUAGCGGUGAAAUGCGUAGAUAUAGGAAGGAACACCAGUGGCGAAAGGCGACCACCUGGACUGAUACUGACACUGAGGUGCGAAAGCGUGGGAGCAAACAGGAUUAGAUACCCUGGUAGGAUAGCG